CUGUGGGUGAGCCACCCCAGUUAAUGUUUCCUUUAUAAGAAUAGUUGUGGUCGUGCUGUCUCUUCACAACAAGAGAAACCCUAACUGAGACAACGGGGAAGAAAAAUGAGAGAAAGAACCAUUGGACAUUUAUAGGUUGGAAGGGUUCUUGAAAUGUUAGGAAAUUCAACAUUAUACCAGAACGUGCUGCCCUUCAGGGACCAGGAGCCACAAAAUUCUCCAAGUAGAUGGGAAGAUGACAACCACCCAGGGGACAAGCCCAGGGAGCCAAGCAUACAGGGAGCACCGACGACGGAGUUCAACAAGGGCUCAAACAAUGAGGGAAGAAAGAAGCUGCCUCCUGUGCCCGGGGACCUGGAGCUGUGCUCCGUGCUAACUGCCAUCCCAGCCUGUUUCCAACCUUUAUAUAGAAGCUGGCCUCUGUUACUGCCAGUGGCAGCAUCUGUGCCAGCCUUCCUGUCUGCUGAGCCCUCCUGGCUGCUGCUGGGUUUUUGUGCCACAGCCCCCGUGGGGCCCGAAGCCGUACCCACACGCAAAACAUUAGUAUGGCUGUUCUCAAGCUUGGCAACAGCUUCCAGGAUUAAGAAUAAACUCGCCAGUGUGGGGGUACCAACAGGCGUACUCCGGCCUGCUUUUAAUAAUGCCAGACAAAUCUAUCAACAUCUCUUAUGGACCCUAUCGUGUCUUCAGAGUUGGCUCAAUCAAUCCAUUAUUCUUCUUGUUUACUUCAACCAAUAAGAAACUCUGGAAAGGGCAAAUCACUGGUGAACUCCUUUGCUUAUUUUUCUAUCAGCAUUGGCUUGUAGGUAACAGGAGCACUGUGAGUCCAGUAAUCUUCACCUCACAAGGGUCGCUUGAACGGUCUCAUUAGACAGGGUCAACUUUGGGAUGCACAUAAGGGGCACACAAGUCCCUCUCUGUGACGCUGGCUUCCCCAUCACUGUGGCAGCUGGACAGCUGAGGGCUCUGCGCCCUACAGGCCCCACAAGUUCCCAAAGCAACUGCAUGAGCUGGAGACUAAGUGCCCAAACUCAAAUCACAACACAGCACUUCCUUUUCAAUCCUUAGAUAAACUACUGUCUAUCCAGGCCGCUUCUCAACCUAUAAUGCACGCAAUGAAUCCAACAUGGUUCCUGCAAUGGGUACAGUUCUCUAAGGAGACAUCUUGUGACUUUCUGGACGUGGCAUUGUGACAGGCCCUGAGACUGUCCUGUGCAGGCAGGGGACACUUCAGCAGUUCAUUCAGAACUUGUGCACCAAACCCUAUCAUCCUCUCCACCCCGCCCAGGUCACCUUGGGCGAUUUCUCCCUAUGAUGACUUACGUGAUGGCUCCUCACAGCUCUCCACAGCAGUGUCUCCGUUCAGCCUGCCCUGUAAUGCGGCUCAAACACUCCGGCAAAAGCAGGGACGGAGCACACAACUCCUUCAGCGUGGAGCCUCGCGGCGGCAGCUUCACUUGAAACAAAACCAAGUCCUUCAAGCCCAUCUGGGCUUCUACCAAGGCUGGGGGCACCUUCUGCCUUCUCUCUUUCCCGAUGGCAGCCUCCUCCUCCUUUGGUUGCACUAAAACCCCAAGCACAAGCCUUCCUCGGGGCUGAGCACUUAUGCAGCCUCUCAGGAGACCUCACUCCAGGCAUCUACCCAUCCAGAGCUCACACCCUUCGGAUCUUCCUGUGGGAGCUAUCCUCUCAAUGAGGGCUCCUUUGAUGGACGAGUUAAAGUGACAGUGUAUCCCGGACCUCCUCAAUUCCCUUUUUGCUUUUUUAUUUCCCUCCAACACUUAACCGUAUGGUAUAUGGCUUGCUCAUUUUUAAAGGCUGCUCCUCCCACUUGCCAUCAUGAGCACUAAUACCCAGUCCGUGAUCAACACGGAUUUCUUGCAUGGCUAGAGCGAGUGAGAGAGAGAGAUUUGUGCAGCGCACCUGAGGGAGGUGGAGAGGAGCAGGGAAUCUACUCUAACCUAGGUGACACACUUGGACGAACAAAACAUUCGGCUACCUUAGUCACGCCUGCUUGAGACGAACAUUCUUUAUGAAAACCCCACAGUGAUUACUUUUUAAAGACUAUCUACUAGAUGGCUAGGAUAAUGUUUAUCCCGGAAAAGGUCAACAUAUUUGAGUCUUAAAAGAGAAAAAGACAUGCACAAUUCAUCCUAAGUUUAAUAAUAUAAUCCCCUUAACUGUCCCUCAGGAGGUGACUGAAGGAGCCCAGUCUAUAUGUAGCAGAGGAUGUUUGUGGUUAAAACCCGCUCCACUACACAGUCUGACUCUGAGAGACUGAAACCCGCUCCACUACAGUCUGAUUCUGAGAGACUGAAACCCGCUCCACUACAGUCUGACUCUGAGAGACUGAAACCCGCUCCACUACAGUCUGACUCUGAGAGACUGAAACCCGCUCCACUACAGUCUGACUCUGAGAGACUGAAACCCGCUCCACUACACAGUCUGACUCUGAGAGACUGACCCCAUAUGGGUCACAUCUUGAAUCGGUUUGUGAGCUUCUAGUGUCAGUGACUCAGGUUCAAAAGCUUUCCCGUGAGCGGCUCAGGCAGUGACUCUCACGUCUGGUUUCAGUGGGCACACACAGCCCAAAGCCGUGUCCCAUGGAGUACUCUCACGGGAUUCUGAGACCACACGGAUUCAGCACACUCGGCUUUCGGCUCAAGGAUCAUGUGGCUGAUCAGGAGGGUCUCCUCCUGAGACGGCCACCAGUGACAUGAUGGCCGCUGCUUGGACGCUCUACUGUGCCAUCCAUCAGAUCACCCUAAGUCUAUUAUCUCGCAUGGACUUACUCUCAAGUUCAUCUCCAGCUCCCUGGUGAGUUGCCAUGGCAGUAAUCUGAGAGAUGGAAUUUACUAGAGUGUUUGAAAUUCUAAGCUUUACAGGGCCACUGCCACAGCCUCCCCCAUAUAUCCUUAAAAACAUUUUAAAUAAGCAUUUAUUUAUUUGUGUGGACACACGCACACACACACAUUCACGCACACACACACACACGUACGCGCGUGCGCACACACACACACACACACGCACACACACACAUGCUGCACCAUGCGUGUGGAAAUUAACGAACACCCCAAUUGUGGCAGUCAGUUCUCGCUGUCCACCACGUGGGACUAAG